GUCUACUUUUUUUAAUUUAACACAUGUAAACCACAGCAGAAAUGUCACAUACAGUACAGGUAAUAAAUAACCCACUAUAAGUUAAAAGAAUUAACAUAUGCUUUUUGUUUUCGCAAGCUUUGGAGAUGUAACAUAAAGUCCCUUUUUUUAAUAAUAGGUCACCUAUAGCUUUGCCAUGAGGCGGUGUUCAAAAUGACAUCAAUGUUUUUAAAGUGCACUGCGAAGGGAACACAAUUGUAAACAUGAAGAUCGCUAAAACUGAAUUGUAAAAAUAGUUUGAAAGCAAAUUACACCUAGAGAUGAUCUUUAAUGCUUUUUUUAAUUUUCAAUAAUUCCAACUUUGAAUGUUAGAAUGUUCUAAAUGAAUAGAACAUAUGGGGGAUAAGUGGCAAUAGCACACAGCCAGGAACUCCUCUGCGCGAGUCAGCGGACUUGCGCGUGCUCAUCAUUUGAAAUAAAUAACGGACACAAAGCAACGGGCGGAACGGUAAUCUGAAGGUAAGUACGUUAUAUUCGACGUUUCACAUGUUUCAUUAGUCGUUUUACUUAUAAUUUAUGUUAAAUGGAACUUUAGAUGUGUAACGUUUUACAUUUUUAUUAUUUUUAAUGAACACUUAAUCACUUUAUACGUUUUUAUGUCGCCCUGUAUAGUGACGAGGUCAUUGACAGCAGCUAAUCUAUGAAGUGAUGAACUCCUCGCCAGAGACGCUCCACAGCCUUGAAUGGGGAAGCUUUGCCAUUUCUUUCGCUGGAAUCUUCAAUUGAAAACAUCAAGAUCAUUAACCUGUGUCAGCCUGGACAGACUUCUGUUUCAGUUCUGACUGCACCACACUAAUCUCUCUGCUUAUGUGGAUCACUGACUACUAUGUUCUCUGAAGCGGAUGCCCUUCCAGCCUCAACCCAUCUCUGGGAAACAUCCACACACACUCAUUCACUACAGACAAUUUUAGCCUACCCAAUUCACCUGUACCGCAUGUCUUUGGACAGUGGGGAAACCCGGAGCACCUGGAGGAAACCCAUGUAAACACAGGGAGAACAUGCACAGAGACGCCAACUGACCCAGCCAAGGCUCGAACCAGCGACAUUCUUGCUGUGAGGUGACAGCACUACCUACUGCGCCACUGCGUCGCAGACUCUGAAGUUGCAGCCAAAAUGUGCGACACAACAGCCACAUCAUUUACAGGGCCGUGAGAGACCACCUGUAUGGUCUGCCGGUGGCAGACGCAGAGCUGAAAACACUAAUCUGAUGCUUUUUUGUAGUUGUUGUUGUUGUGUUAAUGUUAAUUUGACCAAUGCAUGCUUUGUCAUUACUUUUGUCUGCUGUACUAUUUUGAGAGCAAACAUUAGCCUAAUAAAUAUUUUUUAACAAAA